GACACGCUGGCGGCGUGCCUAACACAUGCAAGUCGAGCGAAUGAAGUUCCUUCGGGAACGGAUUUAGCGGCGGACGGGUGAGUAACACGUGGGCAACCUGCCUCAUAGAGGGGAAUAGCCUUCCGAAAGGGAGAUUAAUACCGCAUAAGAUUGUAGUACCGCAUGGUACAGCAAUUAAAGGAGCAAUCCGCUAUGAGAUGGGCCCGCGGCGCAUUAGCUAGUUGGUGAGGUAACGGCUCACCAAGGCGACGAUGCGUAGCCGACCUGAGAGGGUGAUCGGCCACAUUGGGACUGAGACACGGCCCAGACUCCUACGGGAGGCAGCAGUGGGGAAUAUUGCACAAUGGGGGAAACCCUGAUGCAGCAACGCCGCGUGAGUGAUGACGGCCUUCGGGUUGUAAAGCUCUGUCUUCAGGGACGAUAAUGACGGUACCUGAGGAGGAAGCCACGGCUAACUACGUG
rnacentral:rRNA from 1 species